CAGCAGCCGCGGUAAUACGUAGGGUGCAAGCGUUAUCCGGAAUUAUUGGGCGUAAAGAGCUCGUAGGCGGUUUGUCGCGUCUGCUAUGAAAACUGGAGGCUCAACCUCCAGCCUGCAGUGGGUACGGGCAGACUAGAGUGCGGUAGGGGAGAUUGGAAUUCCUGGUGUAGCGGUGGAAUGCGCAGAUAUCAGGAGGAACACCGAUGGCGAAGGCAGAUCUCUGGGCCGUAACUGACGCUGAGGAGCGAAAGCGUGGGGAGCGAACAGGAUUAGAUACCCCGUAGUCCCUGUCUCUUAUACC
rnacentral:rRNA from 1 species